rnacentral:rRNA from 1 species
AAGGUUAGCUUUUUUGAUUAAGGAAUUAAUUAAUAUUUUUUGUAUAAAGGCAUUUAAAGAUAAAAUUGGUAAAUUAUAAAAAUAAGGACGAGACGUUUCGAAAAUUGUAAUGAGGUUUAGACUUGUGACUUACAACUUUCCUAGUUAAAAAACAAAAUUUUUUAAUUAUUGUAAAGUGAAACAUCUUAGUAACAGUGUAAAUAAAUCAACCGAAAGUUUAUAAGUAAUGGUGAAUGAACAUAAAUGAAGUCAAAAAACUUUAAAAAUUUUUAAAAUGAUUUACAAUAAAAGGUUAAAAAGUCCUGUAAAAAUUUUAUUAAAGUUUUAAAAAAGUAAAGUGAUUAAAAUUCACGAGAAAAUAGGAGAACCACCUUCUAAACUUAAAAAUAUAAUUUAAUCGAUAGUAAACGAGUAUUGUAAAAUAAAUUUGAAAAAAUUUGAAAAAAUUUGAAAAAAUUUGAAUGUCUAAUUAAUUACCUGAAGUAAAAAUAUACAACAGGAUGCUUUUUGCAGAACGAGUCAGUAAGUUAAAAAUUAUAGCAAAAUAAUUAUAUAAAGAUAAUUUAACAAAUAAGUUAUAGUUAUUAGACCUGAAACCAAGUGAUCUAAUUAUGAAUAAGUUGCUUUUGAUGUAACAAUUAAUUUAAGGACUGAACUUUUACAUGUAGCAAAAUGUAAAGAAAAUUUGUAAUUAGGAGUGAAAGGCUAAUCAAACUUGGUUAUAGCCGGUUUUUCACGAAAUGUAUUUUAGUACAGCAUUAUUGAAUAAUUUGUUAGUGUAAAGUAAAAAUCGUUUAUAUAUAAAAAAACGUUUAACUUUAAAAUUAGCAAUUUUGUUUAUGAUAAUAGUCAGUCGUAGAGCGAAAAGGUUAUAUGACAAAAGGAAAACAAUCCACAUCGUUUGUUAAGGUAUUAAAUUAUUACUUACAUAAAUAAGGUUUUAAAGAAUUUAAAUAUUAUUAAUAGGCUUAGAAGCAGUUUUUUAUUUGAGAAAGCGUUUUAGCUCAUUAUUUGUUUUAUAAAAACCAAAAAUUUUAGAUAAAUAAAGUAUAAACCGAUACAGCGAAUACAUUUUUUCUAAGAAUGUAUGGUAGUGAAACGUUUUGUUAUUUAUAAGAGAGUAAUCAAUAUUUAAAAUAAUACAAAAAUGUGAAUGCUGACAUGAGUAACGAAAAUUAUGUGAAAAUCAUAAUCAUAAAAAAAUAGGUUUUCAAUGUACUUUAAAAUUCAUUGAGUGAGUCGGUUCUUAAGAAUUUUACUAAACAGUUAUUUUGAUAGAAAAAUUUUAACUAUUUAAUCUUACUAACUGUAUUGUUAAUUAACAAGAAAAGAAACUUAAAUAUAACUUUAUUCAAAAAAAUAAAUUAAAAAAUAAUUAAGUUUUUCAAGAAAUAAAACAGAUAGAAAAAACCGUACUAAAUCCGACACAGGUUUUUUUAUAUGAGUGAAAGAAUUAUAUUAAAGGAACUUGGCAAAUUAGUUCCGUAUGUUAGCUAAAAGGAAUAUCUAUUAAAUUUAAAUAAUAAAAAUAGAGAGCAUAAACAAAAAAGCAACGACUGGUUAUCAAAACCACAGGACUCUGCUAAUUUUAAAAAGAUGUAUAGAGUUUGAUGCCUGCCCAGUGCUUAAAAAUGAAAUAUAAAGAGUAAAGUAUUUUUAUAAUAAGUUUAAGUAAACGGCGGUUCUAACUAUAAGAAUCCUCAGGUAGCGAAAUUUCUUGACGGGUAAAUUCCGUCCUGCAUGAAUGGCUUAACGAUUGCUUUACUGUCUCUAAUAUAAAUUCAGUGAAAUUACAAUAUUCAUGAAAAUGUGAAUUUUUUACAAUAAGACGGAAAGACCCUAGAUCCUUUACUUUUAUUUUAUAUUGUUACAAAUUAUUACUUAAGUAGUAUAAAUGGGAAUAAAAAAUUUAUUGAAAUACCAUUUUUGUAAUAUUUUUAACUAAUUUAUAUUUAAAAAAAGUGUAAAAAAGAAAGUUUACUUGGGAUGAGUGCCUCCUAAAAAGUAACGGAGGUGUACAAAGGUAAUGGAUAUAAUAAAUUAAUUUGCUUGAUAAUAAAAUUAAUAAAUUAAGUUAGGACGAAAGUCAGUUAUAGUGACCCGGAAUUUAAGAGUGGAAUUAAUUUCGUUUAACAGAUAAAAGGAACUCUAGGGAUAACAGAUUCAUCAUGAUUAAAAGUUCAUAUUGAAAUCAUGGUUUGAUACCUCGAUGUCGACUCAUCUUAUCCUGAAAUUGUAAUUUAUUUCAAGGGUCUAGUUGUUCGCUAGUUAAAAAGGUACGUGAGUUGGGUUCAGAACGUCGUGAGACAGUUCGGUCCCUAUCUAUUGUAAAUUAAAAGAAUUAAAAGAAUUAUUUUUAGUACGAGAGGACCAAAAUAUAUUAACCACUGGUAAAAUUGAUUAAAAUGUAUUGUUUUAUUGUCAAGUAGCUACGUUAGUUUAAUUUAAAUACUGAAGUAAUCAAUAGUAUAAAAAAAACUUUUCAAUUUUUUUGAGCAUUCUUUUCGAAAAAAAGAUUGAUCGAUCUAAUUUUAAUUUUUAGUAAUAAAACAAUUAUAGAUACGAAUUAGUCAAUAAUUUUUUAAUUAACUUAAUC